UUCGCAUCCCCCACCAAAACCCGGACAGCGCCGGCCACCGUCUGCUGCCGGAUGUGACUUAUCUAACGAUAGCGCACCGGAUGUUGCAGUUGCAUGAGGGACGCUCUUCUAGAGAUCAUUUCAUUUGAUUCUGGUUCUGAAACACGAAGCUAUCAAUCUCCUUCCAAUCAGCUACUUCCCAACUGAUCUUCUUGUUCUCUGAUUCUCCUCAGACUAAAUACGGGUGCUGCAUUGAAAUCAGCUAUAAUUCUUAUUUUGCAGGAGUACCGUUUACUCUAUAUGCAUGACCAAUGUAUUCUAAGCACUUCAAAAUCGACUUGACACAAUCAAAAAGCAGAAGAAGUGAAUCAUAACCCAGAGGAUAUUGAAAGGGAAGAAGUCAACAAACGAAUGCAACAAAUUUAAUAAUAUUAAACGAUUGGUUUGUGGGUCCUUUGGAUGUUAGUUUUUUUCUUACAGAAGGUAGGCUAAAUGGUUGAAGGUAUAUUUCUUACAGGAGUAAUCAUAGUAAACAUUCAAAAUUUGCUGUGCAACCGGAUUAUGAGGAUGUUGGUGGGACCCGUGAGAGUUGUCUUCUACUCUGUAGUUUGUAUCUUAAAGCCAAAUUACUCGUAAUCUUUAUAUCAGGGUUGUGCGUCUCUAGUUAACUUAUUUAUUGUUUCUUUUUUUGAUGUUUGAGUUUAGGACUUUUGGUGCAUUUUUUUUAUUCUUUUUCUUUUUUUUUCUGUUAGAAAUUUCAGAAAGUGGCAUCUUACCUAUUCAUGAGACAAGCGCAAGCAGCUUUGGAAGCUGAGGUACCAGUGAUGCAACAUCUGGUGAUGGGCUUUUAAUCUGUUUCACUACUUGUACAAAGGAAAAAAGUUUUCUUCAACUACACGCUGUAUACAAUCGAGGGAGUGCCGCAUAUCUAUGCAAGGAUAUCUUGCUGAUAACUGUAGAUGCUCAUCCAAUUGAGGUCGGAUACUCUUGACUUCUUCUGCCCCUUUAAUUCGUUGCAAUCCAGGACCAAUGCAGAGAUUAAGAUAAUCCCCCCCCCCCCCCCGGGGGGUGUUUGUUAACAAAUGAAGAAAACGGCUGCAGCGACAGUUACCAAUCUUUAGACAGAUGGUGGGUGAGAGAUUUCCCUCACUUUUUAAACAAGCAAUUUCUGCAAUUAGGAGCAAGGGCAUUGACGUCUUACAUGUAAAGGCUGGCUUUAAAGAAAAGAGACUGGUUAAGUAGUAGUUUUUCAGAGAAUCUUUAGCAUGCUUCACCCAGGUAGUAAACCAAUCAGGACUAACAAAUUUUAUUAGAAGCGAAUUAAUCAAUGUAAAUUAAUAUUAUAGUCGCUCGCUUGUAGUAAUCAGCGAAAAAGUAGUUAUUAACACAUUCUUUCUUGUGUAACAUCAUUAUGUACUUUCUAACCGAUUCUGAGCGACUAACAUGCAAGUUUAAACUUCCAUAA